rnacentral:misc_RNA from 1 species
GAUGAAGAACGUAGCGAAAUGCGAUACUUGGUGUGAAUUGCAGAAUCCCGUGAACCAUCGAGUCUUUGAACGCAAGUUGCGCCCGAAGCCAUUAGGCCGAGGGCACGCCUGCCUGGGCGUCACACGUCGUUGCCCCCCCAUCUACUCCUUCGGGAUUGCGGGGGGCGGAUGAUGGCCUCCCGUGCGCCUCGUCGCGCGGUUGGCAUAACUGCCAAGUCCUCGGCGACGCACGCCACGACAAUCGGUGGUUGCGAAACCUCGGUUGCCCGUCGUGUGCGGUCGUCGCGCAUCGAGGGCUCGAAAAAAUUGCCGGGCUCCGGCUCGACUUUCAACGCGACCCCAGGUCAGGCGGGGUUACCCGCUGAAUUUAAGCAUAUCAAUAAGCGGAGGA